AAAAGGAGACUUUCUGCUAAAAUCGCCCAUGUCCUGUGGCUAAAGCAAAAAUCACCACAUCCUGUGGA
rnacentral:ncRNA from 1 species